UGGGGAAUAUUGCACAAUGGGCGAAAGCCUGAUGCAGCAACGCCGCGUGAGUGAUGAAGGCCUUCGGGUUGUAAAGCUCUGUCUUUUGGGACGAUAAUGACGGUACCAAAGGAGGAAGCCACGGCUAACUACGUGCCAGCAGCCGCGGUAAUACGUAGGUGGCAAGCGUUGUCCGGAUUUACUGGGCGUAAAGGAUGCGUAGGCGGAUUUUUAAGUGAGAUGUGAAAACCCUAAGCUUAACUUGGGGACUGCAUUUCAUACUGGAAAUCUAGAGUGCGGGAGAGGAGAAUGGAAUUCCUAGUGUAGCGGUGAAAUGCGUAGAGAUUAGGAAGAACACCAGUGGCGAAGGCGAUUCUCUGGACCGUAACUGACGCUGAGGCAUGAAAGCGUGGGUAGCAAACAGGAUUAGAUACCCUGGUAGUCCACGCCGUAAACGAUGAGUACUAGGUGUAGGAGGUAUCGACCCCUUCUGUGCCGCAGUUAACACAAUAAGUACUCCGCCUGGGAAGUACGAUCGCAAGAUUAAAAACUCAAAUGAAUUGAC
rnacentral:rRNA from 1 species